ACUUAAAUUGAAGAGUUUGAUCAUGGCUCAGAUUGAACGCUGGCGGCAGGCCUAACACAUGCAAGUCGAGCGGUAGCACAGAGAGCUUGCUCUCGGGUGACGAGCGGCGGACGGGUGAGUAAUGUCUGGGAAACUGCCUGAUGGAGGGGGAUAACUACUGGAAACGGUAGCUAAUACCGCAUAACGUCGCAAGACCAAAGUGGGGGACCUUCGGGCCUCAUGCCAUCAGAUGUGCCCAGAUGGGAUUAGCUAGUAGGUGGGGUAACGGCUCACCUAGGCGACGAUCCCUAGCUGGUCUGAGAGGAUGACCAGCCACACUGGAACUGAGACACGGUCCAGACUCCUA
rnacentral:rRNA from 1 species